GGAUGAAGGCCUUCGGGUUGUAAACCUCUUUCGACCGGGAAGAUAAUGACGGUACCUGAAGAAGAAGCCCCGGCUAACUUCGUGCCAGCAGCCGCGGUAAUACGUAGGGGGCAAGCGUUGUUCGGAAUUAUUGGGCGUAAAGGGUGCGUAGGCGGUUUUCUAAGUCUGGUGUGAAAUCUCCGGGCUCAACUCGGAGGCUGCGCCGAAAACUGCCGGGCUUGAGUAUGGGAGAGGUGAGUGGAAUUCCCGGUGUAGCGGUGAAAUGCGUAGAUAUCAGGAGGAACACCUGUGGCGAAAGCGGCUCACUGGACCAUUACUGACGCUGAUGCACGAAAGCUUGGGGAGCAAACAGGAUUAGAUACCCUGGUAGUCCACGCCCUAAACGAUGAAUGCUUGGUGUG
rnacentral:rRNA from 1 species